rnacentral:lncRNA from 1 species
AAAAAACACAGAUAAUGGGUGUGGGGGCAGUGAUGGAUGAAAAUAGUUCAUCUCAUAAUCAACCAGAAGACCAACAGCUAAAUAUUGGAAUGCUGCCUUUGGAGAAAAGGAAACCACAGUAUCAAGAGUCAAUCACACAGUUUAAGAAGAAAAUAAGAGAAAAUCUUUUAAAUUUCCUCCUUGAUGUCUCAUCAGAAUUGGAGCCGCUUUUCCUCUGCAAUACUGGUGAGAGGAAGAGGUUGUUGGAAGAAUGAUUGGAGUCUGGUGUCAGGAAUCCCUUGCCCUUCAAAGAGACAGUGUACUGCUACCUGGCUGCUUCCAUGAGCUGCAAAGUGGGUAAAACAUCUUCAGUUGGGUGGAUAGGAUAAGACUGUCAUUGACUGAUAUGCGCAACCUAAUUACUUCCUUAGUUACUUAAAGCUGGCUUCAUUUGUCCAAAUUGUCUCUUCUUUGGAUAAGCAUCUUGACUAUUGUUUACUUAGAAUNNNNNNNNNNAAUGCCCCACAUGAACAGAGUAUCCCAAGUUCAGCACACAUACAAAACAACUUAAAUAGCAAACCCACAUUUUUACUCAUCUAA